AUUAUCAACGCAAUGCUUAAGGUAUCCAACUUUGCUAUUGCGCUUGGAAAUUGAAGGAUGCUGAGUUUUACAGUCAGCUCCUUUUAAAUAUAUGAGCAGUGCUUAGUGACCAGCUCCAGCUUGAUAAGCAGCUUAUUAUCUGUGUUGUUGCUGAGUAAUUUGUAGAUCUGCUGAUAAUAGUCCUUUGGACUGGGUUUCAAUCCCACUAUUAA
rnacentral:misc_RNA from 1 species